AGCGAACGCUGGCGGCAGGCCUAACACAUGCAAGUCGAACGGCUCUUCGGAGCAGUGGCGGACGGGUGAGUAACGCGUGGGAACGUGCCCUUUGGUUCGGAACAACACAGGGAAACUUGUGCUAAUACCGGAUGAGCCCUUCGGGGGAAAGAUUUAUCGCCAUUGGAGCGGCCCGCGUUGGAUUAGGUAGUUGGUGGGGUAACGGCCCACCAAGCCGACGAUCCAUAGCUGGUCUGAGAGGAUGAUCAGCCACACUGGGACUGAGACACGGCCCAGACUCCUACGGGAGGCGGCAGUGGGGAAUCUUGCGCAAUGGGCGAAAGCCUGACGCAGCCAUGCCGCGUGUAUGAUGAAGGCCUUAGGGUUGUAAAGCUCUUUUGUCCGGGAAGAUAAUGACUGUACCGGAAGAAUAAGCCCCGGCUAACUUCGUGCCAGCAGCCGCCGUAAUAC
rnacentral:rRNA from 1 species